UACGUAGGGUGCAAGCGUUGUCCGGAAUUAUUGGGCGUAAAGAGCUCGUAGGUGGUUUGUCGCGUCUGCUGUGAAAACUCGGGGCUUAACCCUGGGACUGCAGUGGGUACGGGCAGACUAGAGUGCGGUAGGGGAGACUGGAAUUCCUGGUGUAGCGGUGAAAUGCGCAGAUAUCAGGAGGAACACCGGUGGCGAAGGCGGGUCUCUGGGCCGAUAUUGACGCUGAGGAGCGAAGGCCAGGGGAGCAAACGGG
rnacentral:rRNA from 1 species